GGCCUCUGGGAGCUCCAGUGUGAGGAUGAGGAGCCAAGGAAAGGAAGUUUAGCAGAGUCCACAGACCCUACUCAGGAGCCAGCUACAUGGUGCUUCUUUUGCCCACAGGCCAAGUACCUGGCCCAGAUCAUUGUGAUGGGUGUGCAGGUGGUGGGCAGAGCCUUUGCCAGGGCCCUGAGGCAGGAGUUUGCAGCAAGCCAGGCAGCCGCUGAUGCUCGAGGCCGUGCUGGGCACCAGUCUGCAGCUGCAUCCAAUCUCUCUGGCCUCAGCCUCCAGGAAGCCCAGCAGAUUCUCAACAUCUCUAAGCUGAGCCCUGAGGAGGUGCAGAAGAAUUAUGAACACCUGUUUAAGGUGAAUGAUAAGUCCGUGGGUGGCUCUUUCUACCUGCAGUCAAAGGUUGUCCGUGCAAAGGAACGCCUAGAUGAGGAACUCCGAAUACAAGCCCAGGAAGACAGAGAGAAAGGGCAGACGCCCAAAACGUGACUGCUGGGCUCUCCACACCCACCCAUUGCCUCAUAAUUUAUAGCCUAG
rnacentral:lncRNA from 1 species